GGGGAUUUAGCUCAGUGGUAGAGCACUUGCCUAGCAAGCACAAGGUCCUGGGUUCGUUCCUCAGCUCCA
rfam:Rattus norvegicus chromosome 10, whole genome shotgun sequence.